UAGAGUAUAGCAUAAGUGGAAUGUACUUCGCUUACACCGAAGUGAUGGCGGGUUGUCUGCCUAUUCUAA
rnacentral:tRNA from 1 species